CACGAGUCUCCCAUAGUUGUUCAGUAGUGGAACAUCCUGACUAGUGAUUGGAAAGACACAGCCUCAAGAAAACAGGGAGGAAAACUGCAAUGGAGAUGAGAAAACACCGCCAUUUUGAUGUCUAGAUUGAUCGACGAUAUACGAUAUCUAACUAUGUAAGGGCAAUAUAAUUAACUCAAUUUUAGGAUCAAUAUUUUGUUUGAACUUACGUCAAUUUCGUUAUUA